UACAGAGGUCUCAAGCGUUGUUCGGAUUCAUUGGGCGUAAAGGGGUGCGUAGCGGCGCGGUAAGUCGGGUGUGAAAUCUUGGAGCUUAACUCCGAAACUGCAUUCGAUACUGCGGUGCUUGAGGACUGGAGAGGAGACUGGAAUUCAUGGUGUAGCAGUGAAAUGCGUAGAGAUCAUGAGGAAGACCAGUGGCGAAGGCGGGGUCUCUGGACAGUUCCUGACACUGAGGCACGAAGGCCAGGGGAGCAAACGGG
rnacentral:rRNA from 1 species